AAUCAUAGGACUCAGUCUAAGAACAUCGCCUCCUGCGAUAACGACUGGGCAACUAGCAUCGUGCGGC
rnacentral:sRNA from 1 species